UGCUCGAGUGGCGAACGGGUGAGUAACACGUGAGUAACCUGCCCUUGACUUUGGGAUAACUUCAGGAAACUGGGGCUAAUACCGGAUAGGAGCUCCUGCUGCAUGGUGGGGGUUGGAAAGUUUCGGCGGUUGGGGAUGGACUCGCGGCUUAUCAGCUUGCUGGUGGGGUAGUGGCUUACCAAGGCUUUGACGGGUAGCCGGCCUGAGAGGGUGACCGGCCACAUUGGGACUGAGAUACGGCCCAG
rnacentral:rRNA from 1 species